rnacentral:lncRNA from 1 species
CAUGAAGAUGAGCAUGACAAAGCAAUUGAAGGCCAAGGAAACCUGGGAAACAUAGCUACAUCUUAGACAUUUGAUCACUCACUUCCACCUUUGAAAAAACAACGGGCAACAUCCUCAUCAUCCUCGAAGGUUUGAUUUUUAACCUCACAUUCUUAUAAAUCACUUUCCAAUUUGUCCAACAUGCCUUUUAUUUGUUAUUUAUUUUCUAAUUCUAUUUGUUUUUUAUUAUUUUACAUUUACCUAUUUCUCUUCACUUCACAGCCUAUAAUUCAUGAGUUCUUUUCUUCUUUACAUGCUAAUUAUAACAUUGAAAACAAUUCUUAAAAGAGAAAAAAUCAUUCCCUGGAAAAUUUAUAUAUCAAUAUUAAUACUUUUCAUUAAAACCAAAGAAUUAGUAAAGGAUAUAUGUAUAUUAACAAUGAGAAGAAAACAUAAUUAUUAUGUGCACACAAUAAAUACUUAGAUAAAGAAGAAAUCAUUACAAUUAUAUAUGUGCAUAUGUUACUUAAACAAUUGCAAUAAAUAUGGUUACUUUCUUGGUGAAUGCUGUAAAUUAAAGUCAUCCCAGAGGUUGGGGAACCAUGACACCAAUUCCUGAUACAUGAUAUGCACAAUGGAUGGGUCCAUAUUUAGGCAGGACUGCAAGCCUUCUUUUAGGUGUUGUAGGCUUUGAAAGCACACUAUCCAGGCAUACACUGCACUCAAUUUCUUCACUAUGUUUUAAUGCCACAAGAAACUUUUGUUUCGUUUCUUCUCACAUGAUUACAAAUGCUCCCCUCUUUCAUCUUCCCUGAAGGAAUAAUCACAGCAAUGUGAUGCCGGAGUUUUUUGAGAAAAAAAGUUUUUCCUUUUUUUUUUCAGUUUAGGAUUUUUAUUGCUUUGAAAAAGGUUUUAUAAUGACUACAUAAACUGUAUAUACAAUAAUGUAAAAAAAAAAAAAGCAUGGUCAAUUUUUUUAUAUCUUGCUUCAUCCACACAUUUAACUUCAUCUACUACACAAAUGUUCACAGAAUUUUCAACCUUCAAUUGCAUCUAUAACACAAAACAAAAAAAACCAAAAACAUUUUUGUGAAGGCUAUUUAACAUGUCCAAAAAAUACUAACAACAAUGACUUGGAUUUGUUGUCUUUACAUAAUUUAUUUUAUUGUCUUUACAUUGCAGAAAAACUAGCAAUUCCUCUACAAAUGACUUGGAUUUAGAUUCCUGUAGCAAGAACAUGGAGAGGAAUCUGGCAGCUUAUUUCCACUUUUGAUGUUAUUUAUAACUUAAUCUAUAUUAUCAUGAUUGCUGCCUCUAUAAUUUUGAUAUAGUUUGGAAACAACAAUGUCCUUUAAGUGCUCAGCAAUCUGACAG